GGGGGAAUACCCAAGUGGCCAAAGGGGGCAGACUGUAAAUCUGUUGUCACAGACUUCGGUGGUUCGAAUCCACCUUCCCCCACCA
rnacentral:tRNA from 1 species